ACGUAGGAGGCAAGCGUUAUCCGGAUUUACUGGGCGUAAAGCGCUCGUAGGCGGUUUGUCAAGUGUGAAGUGAAGUCUCCAGGGCUCAACCCGGAAACUGCUUCGCAGACUGGCAGACUUGAGUGACUCAGAGGUGGAUAGAAUUCCUGGUGUAGCGGUGAAAUGCGUAGAGAUCCGGAGGAACCCCAGUGGCGAAGGCGACCUGCUCGGCCUUGCCUGACGCUCAGACGCGAAAGCAUGGGGAGCGAACGG
rnacentral:rRNA from 1 species